UAAUUAAAAGAAGAGCCACAGAUAUGGACAUGGACAGAAUAAAGAUGGCCGAGUGAAGACAGGCAGAUAUUGGAGGGAUGCAUAUACAAACCAAACAACGCUAAGAUUUUAAAGCAAUCAUCCACAGCCAGAAGAGGCAAACAGGAGUUCUUCUCUAGAGCAUUCACAAGGAACAACCCUAAGAAGUUGAUCCACUGGGAAAGGUGUGAGAUAUGAACUUUUAUCUUCAGAAUUUAAAGAAAUGCAAAGUAAACAACUCUUCGGGAUAGGUAGAAAACCCAAAAGCAUGAACAGGGGAUGGUAAAUCCUCACAACAAAAGCCUUGCACUACAUUGGACUCAAAGUCAGAGACACAUAAACAAAGGCCACGGAGUUGCUUGCAGAUCUUACGUAUGCCAGGGAGUCUCAAAAGAGUCGAGUGCGCUGUGGAGCUUAGUGAGCCUGCUGGCUAGAAGCCAUUCAGUUCUUGCCAAAGUUAAAGUGGUCUAUGUAAAUACCCUUCCAGAGCUGGUACAACAAAAAUGUAAGUAACAACAACAAUCAUCAAACGUUAAAAAAAAAAAAAAACUUUUGAUAGUACUUGAGAUUUUACCCUGUUAUAAGCAGGG